UGUAGAGUGUGCAUGGCAGUUAGGGGAAGUAGAGUCAUUUACUGGCAUGCUUAUUUACACACUUCGUGUUGUGUUUUUAAAAGAUUUAGAAAUGUAAGAAGAGUAGCAAAAAGGAAACUCAACAGGAGCCAAAUAAGAAAGGUUCCCCUGGCCCCCUUUCAUCCUAGAUUAAAGACUGGAUGAAUAAAGCUCAUAAAGCUAAGAACCUGGAGGGAUGCAUCAGCUGUUCACUGCAGAUGAAGAGGAACGACCAUAUUUGGAGGGCUGAGUGUGGACGACCCAGGCUGUGCCACAGGCGCUGUGGGCCGCCUGAGAAAGGAAAUUAAUUCCUCUUUGAGGGAAAAUGACUUUAACAGAUAUACCGGGGGAGGCAGGCUGAAACCUCCCCCCCACACAGUCCCUUUACAGCAGAGUCUGAAGGCAGGCGAGCAGCGCAGCAGAGAGGAAAGCCACCUUAGCUCUGAUGGCCUGUGGCGGGGGUGUUUGCUCUCAGUCCUGGUCGUCGCCUCUCGAGGGCUGUAUGAGGCAGAAUUUCCCACCGACUGAAAGUAUGCAUGUGAAAUGUUAUUCGUCAAGCUUGUCAUGCAGCACUUUUUGUAAACAUUUGAGGUAUGUGCCAGUUAAAUUCAGAUGGGAUUGAGAUUCUACAUAACAUACUGUACAUCAGUUAAUUUAAUUUAAUGUUCCUCACAGAUUUAAUUCAUCUAAUUGAAGCAUAAGUCCCUCCUGAUAGAGUUUGACGUGAUGUAAAUGCAGUUUUGAAUGUU